GGAUGAACGCUGGCGGCGUGCCUAAUACAUGCAAGUCGAACGAGGCGCUUUUUGUAGCAAUACGAGGAGCGUCCUAGUGGCGAACGGGUGAGUAACGCGUGGGUGACCUGCCCCAAAGUGUGGGAUAACAGUCCGAAAGGAUUGCUAAUACCGCAUGUGGUCGCUGAGUUUAGAAGUUAGCGACUAAAGCAGCAAUGCGCUUUGGGAGGGACCUGCGUCCCAUCAGCUAGUUGGUAAGGUAACGGCUUACCAAGGCGACGACGGGUAGGGGACCUGAGAGGGUGGCCCCCCACAAUGGAACUGAAACACGGUCCAUACACCUACGGGUGGCAGCAGUAGGGAAUAUUGCACAAUGGGCGAAAGCCUGAUGCAGCAACGCCGCGUGCGCGAAGAAGGUCUUCGGAUCGUAAAGCGCUUUUCUGGGAGAUGAGAAAGGACAGUAUCCCAGGAAUAAGUCUCGGCUAACUACGUGCCAGCAGCCGCGGUAACACGUAGGAGGCGAGCGUUAUCCGGAUUCACUGGGCGUAAAGCGCGUGCAGGCGGUUCGGUAAGUUGGGCGUGAAAUCUCCCGGCUCAACUGGGAGAGGUCGUUCAAUACUACCGGACUUGAGAGCGAUAGAGGAAAAUGGAAUUCCCGGUGUAGUGGUGAAAUGCGUAGAUAUCGGGAGGAACACCAGUGGCGAAAGCGAUUUUCUGGAUCGUUUCUGACGCUCAGACGCGAAAGCUAGGGUAGCAAACGGGAUUAGAGACCCCGGGUAGUCCUAGCCCGUAAACGAUGUGAACUUGGCGUCGGUGGCUUAAACUCCAUCGGUGCCCGAAGCCAACGCGAUAAGUUCACGCCUGGGACUACGACCGGCAAGGUUAAAACUCAAAGGAAUUGACUGGGGCCCGCACAA
rnacentral:rRNA from 1 species